AGGAACCGAAUGCGGGAAAACCGCAUAUUCGGAUCUGUGCGGGGGACCGGUAACGGGCGUUCCUACCGCGAG
rnacentral:misc_RNA from 1 species